UAGGGAAUCUUCCGCAAUGGGCGAAAGCCUGACGGAGCAACGCCGCGUGAGUGAUGAAGGUCUUCGGAUCGUAAAACUCUGUUAUUAGGGAAGAACAAAUGUGUAAGUAACUAUGCACGUCUUGACGGUACCUAAUCAGAAAGCCACGGCUAACUACGUGCCAGCAGCCGCGGUAAUACGUAGGUGGCAAGCGUUAUCCGGAAUUAUUGGGCGUAAAGCGCGCGUAGGCGGUUUUUUAAGUCUGAUGAGAAAGCCCACGGCUCAACCGUGGAGGGUCAUUGGAAACUGGAAAACUUGAGUGCAGAAGAGGAAAGUGGAAUUCCAUGUGUAGCGGUGAAAUGCGCAGAGAUAUGGAGGAACACCAGUGGCGAAGGCGACUUUCUGGUCUGUAACUGACGCUGAUGUGCGAAAGCGUGGGGAUCAAACAGG
rnacentral:rRNA from 1 species